AUUGAACGCUGGCGGCAUGCUUUACACAUGCAAGUCGAACGGUAACAGGCCGCAAGGUGCUGACGAGUGGCGAACGGGUGAGUAAUGCAUCGGAACGUGCCCAGUCGUGGGGGAUAACGCAGCGAAAGCUGUGCGAAUACCGCAUACGAUCUAUGGAUGAAAGCGGGGGACCGUAAGGCCACGCGCGAUUGGAGCGGCCGAUGUCAGAUUAGGUAGUUGGUGGGGUAAAGGCCCACCAAGCCAACGAUCUGUAGCUGGUCUGAGAGGACGACCAGCCACACUGGGACUGAGACACGGCCCAGACUCCUACGGGAGGCAGCAGUGGGGAAUUUUGGACAAUGGGCGCAAGCCUGAUCCAGCAAUGCCGCGUGCAGGAAGAAGGCCUUCGGGUUGUAAACUGCUUUUGUACGGAACGAAACGGCUCUGGUUAAUACCCGGGGCUAAUGACGGUACCGUAAGAAUAAGCACCGGCUAACUACGUGCCAGCCGCCGCGGUAAUAC
rnacentral:rRNA from 1 species